CAAAGAAUAGUUUAUUUUAAAACGUUAGCUUUGGGAGCUAAUGAUGGGAGUUAAAAUCUCUCUUCUUUGA
rnacentral:tRNA from 1 species